GGGAGGAGGGCAGGCAGGCGAGGGUUCUUCCGGGCAGGGCCUCACAGAUGGACGGAGGUCUCCUUCAACUCUGGGCAGGCGACGAGGGACCCGGCGCUGCUUGGAUUUGGCGGAAGCAUCAACGUCCUGGACCGUGGCUUGGUCAGUGGGUGCAGACAGUUGCGCCCCUAGACCACCAUCCCCACCCUGCAGUCCCCGUGCCUCCUCUGGCGAGGAGGGCAAGGCCUGUGUGCCAGAGUCACCAGCCCAAAGCUAGUCCCCAGAAGGUAGCAGGGAAGUGUGCCGGGUGGGAAGGGACCGGAGCAGUGGAUUGGAGGUAGAGUCCUGAGCCCUUGAGACUGGGCCACUGUGGCUGGGCCUGGAGCUGGACAGGGAAAGGACUAUCUCUGUUAAGAAUCUGAUGUGACACCUCCACCCCCUACAUCUCAACUUCUACAAAUACAGCCCGACUGCCUAGUCCUGGGGGCUGUGUGACACGCCGCUUGAAAAGGUGGUGAACUUCAAUUACCAGCAGCCUGGGCCCAAGGAACGUGACAAUGAUGGCAACGGGAAUGAUAGUAAAUGCUUCUGUGUAGCACUUACUGUGUGUCAGGCACUGUUCCUACUGUAUUAACUUGCUUCAUCCCCACCUACCUCACAGGUAGGUGCCAUUAUUAUCAUCCCCAUUUUAGAGAUGGAUAAGAUGAGGCUCAGAGAGGUUAAAUAAAAAUGCACAGGUUCAUAGCCAGUGCACUGGAGUUGUCAACCAUGAGCACCGGCUCAGUACAGAUCUGUGCAUGUGGGUGUUUCCCAAGGAUCCCUGGGGGGCUCUCAUCUCUUCCUCUCCACGCCCUCCUGCUCCACCCCCACUUCUCCUCCUUCCUCAACCCCCUGUGGAUUCAACCAUCCCCAAGAAUAGGGAUGUGGUAUCUCCAACCCAGAUCAACCCCCUGAGUGCAGACAUGUAAGCGCAACUUCCCGUGGCCCUCAAACUCCCACAGGGUCAAGAGCAAGCGGUUCUCCUCCUCCCAGCCCUGUUCCUCCACCUGUUCUAAAUCUCUGUCCUUGGCCUCACCUCCACACACCUUCACAGAGUUCUUAGAUGCUUCUCUCACUACCCACACCAAAUAAGGCCAGAGCCCUGGGCUUCUGAAUAUCUUCUCUCUGUGCCUCCCGGGCCACUCUGUGCCAGGAUGCAGCCCAGGCCCUCUCCAUCACUCACCCCCGCAGGACUCUCUCCCCUUCCCAUCUGCCAGCAUCUUCUAUGCUGCCAGUUGCCACAGAGCACACGUACCUGAGCUUGCCUCCCCUUUGCUCGGUGACCUUGGGAGAUGCCUGCCACUCCAUCCCUGGCAUGGCAGAGUCAAGCAUGGCCUGGCUGCCAACUACCUUGCAGUCUCCCUAUUCUACACCCCAGACCCAGUCCUCCCUCCCAGCCUUUGCUCCUGCGGCCCCAUUUACCUAAACGUCCUUCCACCAGGAACAGUCCUAUCCGACCCUCAAGGAAGGCCCAACUAAAACAUCACCCCCUCCAUGAAGCCUUCUGCCUCUACUGCCAUCAGAAUGCACACUUUCCCUAUCUGUAUUCCAACAGCAUUAUAUUUGCAGUAAUGACGAUGAUAGCAACUGCUAACCUUUCCCAUGUUCCACGUUCCAGACUGUUCUAAGUCUUUACACCUAAUACCUCAUUUAACCCUCAACGACUCGAUGAAGUGGGUGCGAUUAGUACUCCCAUUUUACAGAGAAGGGGACUGAGGAGCAGAGAAGUUGGAUAUCUUACCCGCGAUCACGCAGCUGCACUGCCUGUGUGCCUAGAGCUGCAUGGACUGCGCUGUAUCAAAGCUAGUUAAGUUUUUGGCUCUGUCCUGCUGAAGACUGAGGUCAUGUCUCCUUUAUCUUCAGCUCCCCUAAUACACCACAUGUACCAGGGCUUGUUGCAAGAACAGGAGUGAGCAGGGGAGAGAACAAAUGGAGUUCUUCCAGCCAGGCGUCAUCCAAGCCUACCAAAAUGGGGACAUCGUCCUCGACAACACCACCAGCAUGGGGCGCUGGGAGUUUGUGGGCUCCUUCUUCUUCUCCGUGUCCACCAUCACCACCAUCGGUAA